CCUACGGGAGGCAGCAGUGGGGAAUAUUGGACAAUGGGCGAAAGCCUGAUCCAGCAAUGCCGCGUGAGUGAUGAAGGCCUUCGGGUCGUAAAGCUCUUUUACCAGGGAUGAUAAUGACAGUACCUGGAGAAUAAGCUCCGGCUAACUCCGUGCCAGCAGCCGCGGUAAUACGGAGGGAGCUAGCGUUGUUCGGAAUUACUGGGCGUAAAGAGUACGUAGGCGGUUAUUCAAGUCAGAGGUGAAAGCCCGGGGCUCAACCCCGGAACUGCCUUUGAAACUAGAUAACUAGAGUCUUGGAGAGGUUAGUGGAAUUCCGAGUGUAGAGGUGAAAUUCGUAGAUAUUCGGAAGAACACCAGUGGCGAAGGCGACUAACUGGACAAGUACUGACGCUGAGGUACGAAAGCGUGGGGAGCAAACAGGAUUAGAUACCCUGGUAGUCCACGCCGUAAACGAUGAUAACUAGUUGUUCGGUCACUUGGUGACUGAGUGACGCAGCUAACGCAUUAAGUUAUCCGCCUGGGGAGUACGGUCGCAAGAUUAAAACUCAAAUGAAUUGACGG
rnacentral:rRNA from 1 species